CUGCGGCAGCGACACUCAGGUGUUGUUGGGUAGGGGAGCGUUCUGUAAGCCUGCGAAGGUGGCCUGUGAGGGUUGCUGGAGGUAUCAGAAGUGCGAAUGCUGACAUAAGUAACGAUAAAGCGGGUGAAAAGCCCGCUCGCCGGAAGACCAAGGGUUCCUGUCCAACGUUAAUCGGGGCAGGGUGAGUCGACCCCUAAGGCGAGGCCGAAAGGCGUAGUCGAUGGGAAACGGGUUAAUAUUCCCGUACUUGGUGUUACUGCGAAGGGGGGACGGAGAAGGCUAUGUUGGCCGGGCGACGGUUGUCCCGGUUUAAGCGUGUAGGUGUGUGUUCCAGGUAAAUCCGGUUCACUUUAACACUGAGGCGUGAUGACGAGGCACUACGGUGCUGAAGCAACAAAUGCCCUGCUUCCAGGAAAAGCCUCUAAGCAUCAGGUAACAUCAAAUCGUACCCCAAACCGACACAGGUGGUCAGGUAGAGAAUACCAAGGCGCUUGAGAGAACUCGGGUGAAGGAACUAGGCAAAAUGGUGCCGUAACUUCGGGAGAAGGCACGCUGACACGUAGGUGAAGUGAUUUACUCAUGGAGCUGAAGUCAGUCGAAGAUACCAGCUGGCUGCAACUGUUUAUUAAAAACACAGCACUGUGCAAACACGAAAGUGGACGUAUACGGUGUGACGCCUGCCCGGUGCCGGAAGGUUAAUUGAUGGGGUCAGCGCAAGCGAAGCUCCUGAUCGAAGCCCCGGUAAACGGCGGCCGUAACUAUAACGGUCCUAAGGUAGCGAAAUUCCUUGUCGGGUAAGUUCCGACCUGCACGAAUGGCGUAAUGAUGGCCAGGCUGUCUCCACCCGAGACUCAGUGAAAUUGAACUCGCUGUGAAGAUGCAGUGUACCCGCGGCAAGACGGAAAGACCCCGUGAACCUUUACUAUAGCUUGACACUGAACAUUGAGCCUUGAUGUGUAGGAUAGGUGGGAGGCUUUGAAGUGUGGACGCCAGUCUGCAUGGAGCCGACCUUGAAAUACCACCCUUUAAUGUUUGAUGUUCUAACGUGGACCCGUGAUCCGGGUUGCGGACAGUGUCUGGUGGGUAGUUUGACUGGGGCGGUCUCCUCCUAAAGAGUAACGGAGGAGCACGAAGGUUGGCUAAUCCUGGUCGGACAUCAGGAGGUUAGUGCAAUGGCAUAAGCCAGCUUGACUGCGAGCGUGACGGCGCGAGCAGGUGCGAAAGCAGGUCAUAGUGAUCCGGUGGUUCUGAAUGGAAGGGCCAUCGCUCAACGGAUAAAAGGUACUCCGGGGAUAACAGGCUGAUACCGCCCAAGAGUUCAUAUCGACGGCGGUGUUUGGCACCUCGAUGUCGGCUCAUCACAUCCUGGGGCUGAAGUAGGUCCCAAGGGUAUGGCUGUUCGCCAUUUAAAGUGGUACGCGAGCUGGGUUUAGAACGUCGUGAGACAGUUCGGUCCCUAUCUGCCGUGGGCGCUGGAGAACUGAGGGGGGCUGCUCCUAGUACGAGAGGACCGGAGUGGACGCAUCACUGGUGUUCGGGUUGUCAUGCCAAUGGCACUGCCCGGUAGCUAAAUGCGGAAGAGAUAAGUGCUGAAAGCAUCUAAGCACGAAACUUGCCCCGAGAUGAGUUCUCCCUGAGACUUUAAGUCUCCUGAAGGAACGUUGAAGACGACGACGUUGAUAGGCCGGGUGUGUAAGCGCAGCGAUGCGUUGAGCUAACCGGUACUAAUGAACCGUGAGGCUUAACCUUACA
rnacentral:rRNA from 1 species